CGCAGGGUGCGGCGAAGCGUCUAUUUGAAAAACCGGCACCUGCAUUUACUGUCUGGACAAACAUCACGACUUCCACUUGGCGGUCUCCUUUCUAAGGCUCACAUGUACGGCACACACGCACCAGAAUCUUGUUAACCUGGCUCCUGUUGUGGGAACCGGAGGAUCGCCUUUUAACUGGAUCACACCUUGAAGAUCCCUCUUUGCUGGAUCCAAGUUCUAAUGUGUUGGCAGAGCACGGUUACUAUGAAUAUUGAAGACAUCGAAUCUGGGAUGCGUAUGACUCGACUGAUGUUUGCCCGACACACAGCGUCGGUGCUUGCCAGCUCCUUUCCAGGGCAACACCUUACGAUGUUGUGUUCACUGUGUUCGGGAGAGGAAAAGCGAGACAACGAGAAAGGAGAGAGAGGGGAAAGAAGCGGGGAAGGUGAAGGAAACGAGUGGCGGAAGGGUGGAAGGGCAGAAUAUCAGUCAGGAGAUUCGUUUCAGCGAGUUACUCUUCGAGUUUGAGGGCCUUACGCGUCGACAACAGGGAAGGUGUCCACAGCAUGCGAGACCGAGCUGAACCUAACUGGAAGGAUACUUUCGGAAGCCCAAAGAACUACCAUAAAUCGGCAU
rnacentral:lncRNA from 1 species